UCGGACUGGUGCUAAUCGGCGCUAUCAAAUUAUAAAAACGCAUAAAAAUUUUUUACAAUUCUGCACAUAAUUUCAAUCCUCUCAAGAUGAAAAAAUUUGACAUAACACGUCAAGGGAGUCCUGCAAAGCCGACAACUCAGUCUGAGAGAAGGAAAAAGAGGAAGUCUAGCAGAGGUAUCAGACGCCGGUGGAAUAACGCUUUGGGUAUCAACGUAUAGUCGAUGUGUUGCAGAUAACUUUACUACUCGUUGCUCAUCAGUCGGCUUAAAAAAAGACAACAUCCGCGAGAGCGACUACGCCUGCACGGGUGAGAUUCCUACUCCGAGUGCCAUACGGUUUAUCAAGAUUCCAACACGUUUCCAAGCAGCGGGAUUACCUUUCAGCGAGUCGCUUAAGGAGCCGUUGGCGAA